rnacentral:rRNA from 1 species
AUUGAACGCUGGCGGCAUGCCUUACACAUGCAAGUCGAACGGUAACAGGUCUUCGGGUGCUGACGAGUGGCGUACGGGUGAGUAAUACAUCGGAACGUGCCUAGUAGUGGGGGAUAACUACUCGAAAGAGUGGCUAAUACCGCAUGAGAUCUACGGAUGAAAGCAGGGGAUCGCAAGACCUUGUGCUACUAGAGCGGCCGAUGGCAGAUUAGGUAGUUGGUGGGAUAAAAGCUUACCAAGCCGACGAUCUGUAGCUGGUCUGAGAGGACGAUCAGCCACACUGGGACUGAGACACGGCCCAGACUCCUACGGGAGGCAGCAGUGGGGAAUUUUGGACAAUGGGCGAAAGCCUGAUCCAGCAAUGCCGCGUGCAGAAUGAAGGCCUUCGGGUUGUAAACUGCUUUUGUACGGAACGAAAAGCCCCGGGUUAAUACCCUGGGGUCAUGACGGUACCGUAAGAAUAAGCACCGGCUAACUACGUGCCAGCCGCCGCCGUAA